rnacentral:lncRNA from 1 species
CAGAAGGUCUAGGAAGAAGCUCACCCAGAGGAGGAAAUAAAGUCUCCUGCCGACAGCCAGCUGCAACUUGUUCUGCAUGUGAGCAAGCCGUCAUAGCAGAGAUUCUUCUAGAACAAACCAAGGCUGGGAGAUCUUCCCCUGAAGGACAGGCUCCACACAGCACAGUAUCCUCACUGCCAAGUGCUCUUCGGGUGUCCGUCUCUGCCAUCAGUAUUUUUAGCAUAUGGCCUUUGGAGCCCGAAGAACAACGUCCACCUCCCAGAACUGGUCCUCCAGCUGACAGAUAGGACUGCAUGAAAGAGGGCACUUCAGAGGCCAACCGAGUCGGUGCAAAUCAGAUGCUAACGGCAACCCCUCCGCCCAGAAAUCCCAAGUGGAAGGACGCCUCUCGUGAAAUUGCCUUCCGUGACAGUUACAGACAGCCUGAAGGGAAUACCUGUCCAGGUGAUACGGGACAAGAAAAACACCACGAUGUAAGCAUCGUUUCUACAGAUCUCACAACAGGCCCCAAGCCAACCCCGUUGGGAUUCGUAUCAUGCUUUGUUGCACCAGAUGAAGUCUGAUCUGGGACCGUGCCAGAAAACACGGAAGGAAGACGAGAAAGGGUGAAGAGCUUCUAAAUUAGAUUCUGCUGGGGCCAGGAAAGCAGACACGACUGCCGUGGAGAAGGUCAAUGCAAGCAUUUUAAAAUCGUGUCUUCCUUUUCAUGAUAAUCAAACAUUAAAAUGAGUGCAUUCUCUGCUCUCUGGAAAA